ensembl:lncRNA
GCAAUUUCAGACGUAGCCCUUGAUUAAUUGGUUCAGAUAAGUACUGAAUAAUGAGGGCUGGAGCUAAACUCUGCAGGAAAUUGAACCUCUAGGAGCAGGAUUUGAUGUCCUUGGGGAUUAUUUCCAAUGAGGCUUGCAGAACCUUUAGUCUUUUGUUCAAGGCCAGAUCUUGAGUGUAAAAAUGAAGCUUGACCAACACAAUGCCAAGGUUUCUUCUAGAACACAGGCCUGGAGGAGGAAAUGUCCAAUGUGAGCACUUCCAUACUGCACCACUUUGGAAUUGAGAAACCAUGAGGAAAGCGCACAAGACCAUGCUUUCCAUCAACAGAACAGGAUAAGUCACAGGAAGUUGUUGUGCAAACAGGAAGGACAGAAUGAAGAGCGGAAGAUGACGUCCACAUCAGAGGAAAUACAAUGCACCUGCGCAUCAACAUAAGAAAAAGAAAUGGGGAAUAAAGAGGAAUGAAGGGG